UACGGGGGGGGCAAGCGUUGUUCGGAAUUACUGGGCGUAAAGGGCUCGUAGGUGGCCAACUAAGUCAGACGUGAAAUCCCUCGGCUUAACCGGGGAACUGCGUCUGAUACUGGAUGGCUUGAGUUCGGGAGAGGGGUGCGGAAUUCCAGGUGUAGCGGUGAAAUGCGUAGAUAUCUGGAGGAACACCGGUGGCGAAGGCGGCACCCUGGACCGACACUGACGCUGAGGAGCGAAAGCCAGGGGAGCAAACGGG
rnacentral:rRNA from 1 species